rnacentral:ncRNA from 19 species
UACAUGAUCCGUGCUUGAGGUUGCUAUUUUUUGAAAGACGAACAAUAAUAGUACGCGAAUACGCGGGAGUAAAUGCUUUUCUC